rnacentral:lncRNA from 1 species
CUUUCUGUAUGCACACAAUUCCUUAGGAUGAACAAGCAGCCAUAUGUUAUCAUAAUUUCAGAAUUUGUUAUUUGAGGAGAUAGAAGCCAUAUUUGCUCCCAGGUGAUGAAUAAUUAAUAAGAAAUCACACAGGUGUUCUCAGAACAGAGGAUCCUUUCAGUUCAGCUGGUAGGAGUCUGUACUCUGUUCGGAGACGUGAUAAAAAUGUUUGUAAAGAUACUUGUUUUAUAGGAUUGUUUUUUAGAGAACUUCCUUUCUUGUGUGCAAGGAAGAUUAAUCAGGUAUAGCUUAGGAAUGCCUUUAGCAUGCUGUACAACGAGGGUGCUUUAGUCUUCAAAUUGCUAUGGAUUCAGUGCCUUUCUUUGAAAGGUGAAAACUACUCAUCUGGAUCACAAGACGACUUGGGUUUUUGGAACUGGGAUAAUCUUGUGCAGCUGAAGAUGUUUGUGAGGCAAUUUGCUUCAAAAGAUCUGGCUAGAAGUAUGGUCACUGUGUGUCAGGAGCAAAAUAGGGUCACAGCUGGAACCACUGAUGGAGCACCUGGUGAAGGGGCGUAGCCAGCUCUGGGACACAGGUGGAAGCAAUCCCUCCUAAUCUCAUACAAUGGCUGGCAGCUGCAAAGGAAAAAAUCUCUACUUCGAGAUCGUCUCAUUUGGAGUGUUUGGUGGAUCUUGAUCCUUGGAAUGGGAUAUGUUGGUGCCAGAGGUUUUACAGUUCUCUUAGCUCCAUGUUGGUUUUUGGUCUCCCAUGAGGGUGGUGCCAUCUUUGUGACUGGGGAACCUGAGAGCAACAGGAAUGGUGUGGCAGGUUGCGGGACUCUUCCCCCACUGCUCUACUACACAGGUGUUUCAACUUUGAGCGUUAGCAAUGUUGAACUCAUUCUGUCAGCAUCAACAAUUUCACUUCAGGAAACAACAGGAAGGAGUUUUCCAUUCAGUGGUCAGGAAAGCUGAAAAAACUUGGAAAAGUGAACCUGCUGAGUGCUGCACUUAAAGCAUUCACUCCUCCCAAGAUUAAACUCAAGAACAACAACAAAGAUGCCAGAAGAGUAACUAAAAAGUGAAUCCUUUUUACUAAAAUUUUCAGGGAUGGCAUUUAUCCUGUAAUUGUGAACUCAAAUCAUUCAGUGGGUUUGUUUGUCUUGAAAAUGCUCUUGUAAGUACUGCUUUAACUUUAGGAGGACUAAUGGAUAAUCCCAACAAAGAAUGUGCUGGGUCAAAUUAAUGACCAGUAGAAAUCAUUUUUGAUUUUCCAAAGUACAUAGGUAUUUUGAUAACUUGGUUCAUAUGUACACUGCUGUUCAGUUUUAAUUCAAGCAUUGUGUACUUGCUGUUAAAUCACAGUUUUAAUUCAAGCAUUCAUGUUUUAAAAAUUGGGUCCAGAAGGUCUUAAAGAUAACAAAGUGAG